rnacentral:lncRNA from 1 species
UUGGUGUGUGUUCUGGUCGUAGAUUACACAGGGGGCGAACAAGGUUUCUUCAACCAAACCCUAACUAGCUAAAAAUCAAGCAAUUGGAAGGCCAAAUCAGUCCCAAAUCGAAAUCCAAGCUUAUUUUAGUGAUCACCUAAGCGAAGGGAUCACAAGUUUGACUCUGACAAGCUUGGUAGGAGCUUGGAAAUGAAUGGGUCAAAUGGAUACAAGUUCAAGUAUGAAGCUCGCAAGGAUGCAAGGUAAGUAAAGCUUACACCCAAUUUAAGUGUACGUGUUUAUUUUAUCAGUGAUAAAUAUGACAAUGGAUUAUGUUUAAAAAAAAUGGGUUCCGACAUGAACCGAAAUGAGUCGGAAUAAAUAAAAACUAUCAAAACCAUAGUUAAUGGUAAAAAGAGGCAAAAUGGUAAUUUAGUCAUGAAUUGACUAAGAAUUUAUAAGUUUUCUUAAAGUUACCUAAUAGCGUAACUAGAAAUGGGAAAAAGGGGUAAAAAGGGUAAUUUAGUCACGUGAUGACUAAAUAUAAGUUGAGAUUAAAUGGAUACCCACGGCGUAAGCCGAAAUGGGUUAAAUAUGUAAGAAAAAGGAAAUUUUGUGGUAAAAUCCGGAAUGGGUAGUUAAAAACCGUGCUUUGAAACAAAUGCGAAUGUUUGGUCAUAUAGGCCAAAUGGGUCAAAUGGUGGUGAUAACACCAUUUGACAAUAUUGACUAACGUUGGUUGUUAAGUUGUAUGUUCACAGGAGUGAACCGGAAAUGGAUAAUUGCGUCGCUAUAAAGUAACGGCUAAUAAAAGCAAGGUAUAAAACGAGUUUAUAUAUUGACCCGAGCCAGGUACGCAUAAACAAGCUUUUAGUUAAACGUACGAUUCUUGGUCAAUUAAUUAGCGAAAGUCCUUCAUUGUAAAAUGAAGGAUUAAAAUUGACCAAAAAGCCCUCAUUGGGUAAAGCGGGCAAACGAACCCUAGAGAUUGUUUAGGAACUUGUAUUAUGAUUAUGUAACCCUUUUGAUACGUAUAAGAAUAUAGGCAUAAACUUUCGUGGGUCAAAUGCCUAAGAAUGGGUCUUUUUAGUAAAAUGACUAACCGAAAAAUAAUACUCGGGAUAAUCGGUUUAUUGUAUUAAUUCACCACAAAAAUAGCUGUGGUGAAACAUAAGUAGACAUCUUAAAUGUAAAAAUGUGAAGUACGAAAAGAGAUGAGUGAAAUUGAUGCUUAAAUGCAUAAAAACCGUUAAACGGGUCAAAAUAAAGCAAGUGAUUAAGAUUGGCUAAGUGUUGGAAAAUUUCAAAAUAAACCGGUGAAUGUAAACACGAAUACAAACCUUGUAAUGGAAGCGAAAAUGCUAAUUUUUGGCAAGCACGGAAUGGGUAAAAACGAUCAGCAAUGAAUAUUGUUAAUAAACUUGUAGUAUGAUGUUAAAAGUAACGGGUCAAAUAAUCACACAAAGGAUUUUUAAGUCGUUUGCUUAUAAAUCAGAUUUUUAUGAAACCGAGGUGAUAAACGGAUUCGUAAUUUAAUUACGGAAGCAUGUAAAAAAAAGAAUUACGCGAAACGGACUUGUAGAUAAAAAGUAUGGAACUUGUUUAUACUUGUUUUUAAGUUAUCAAAACUAACCAUUAAGUUGGUUUUUGAUGUUAGGUGAAUGUAGCUACCAUCCGGGUGUCGAUCAAGCAAUGAAGUGAACCGAACACUAUGCAGUGGUAUAGAGAUAAAAAAAACCCUACUCCUUCCUCUUACUUGCGACACCAGCAGGAGCAACCCCCCCCCCCCCCUCAUUGAUUAUCUUCUAGUCCUUCCUCUUGUUGAUGUAAUCUCUACUCAAGGACGUGAUUAACCUACCUCAACUCCUAAUCGCUUUAAAAGUCUAACCGAGUAAUCAAAGGUGAGUUCAAUACUCUUUUUACAAGCAUGGGUCCGGUGGGGACAAUCAAUCUGGCAAACAAACAAACAUAUUUUCAUAAACCCAUAUCCUUGUAGGGGAUAUGAGGCAGUUUUCAGUAACAAACAGACUUUCACAAACCCAUAUCCUUGUAGGGGGUAUGAGGCGGUUUUCAGUAAAUGUUGAUGUUGGAUAAUACACUCACUUUCUGUCACUUAAGUCCCAUCAUACUACCGAACUAGUUGCUUGUAGGGAAACAGGGUUAUUAGUUGAUAGCGUUAUUAGGUUUGGCACCCUCACGACGUACCUGGAUAGGACGGGCAUGAAGUAAUAACUUUAAAAUCAUGACCAAUGUUUGAUAGAGCAUUGGAGAAGGGCAAAAAGGAGCCGUCUGCGAUAUCGAGUUAUUAUCAACAUAACAUGAAUCAAUACUUGGUAACAAUCGGUUAACAAUUCAGUGAACUCGCCAGCGUUAUGCUGAUACACUUUUAUGCAUGCUUGCAGGUCCUUAGGUACAUUUAAUUGGAACUUGCUGUCUGGGAUGCUGGAGUGGUCAUGGGUCGAGUUACAUGGAAUCACGAGACAAGUCUAAUGGUUUUUUUAUACACUUGGGUUACGAAAUUCUUAACUAUUGUAUUAUGCUUCCGCUGAAUAAUAAAUAAUGUUUUGUAACGCUUAUUUUAAUAAAUGAGAGUUUUAUUU